rnacentral:rRNA from 1 species
AGAGUUUGAUCCUGGCUCAGAGCGAACGCUGGCGGCGUGCUUAACACAUGCAAGUCGAGGGAGAACGGAGGGCUUCGGCCUUCCUAGUAAACCGGCGCACGGGUGAGUAACACGUAGGUAACCUACCCCCGAGCUCGGGAUAACCUGUCGAAAGAUAGGCUAAUACCGGAUGAGACCACGUUGGCUUCGGCCAAUGCGGUCAAAGAUGGCCUCUAUUUAUACGCUAUCACUCGAGGAUGGGCCUGCGCACCAUUAGCUAGUUGGUGAGGUAACGGCUCACCAAGGCUACGAUGGUUAGUUGGUCUGAGAGGAUGACCAGCCACACUGGGACUGAGACACGGCCCAGACUCCUACGGGAGGCAGCAGUGGGGAAUAUUGCGCAAUGGGGGAAACCCUGACGCAGCGACGCCGCGUGGGUGAUGAAGGCCUUCGGGUCGUAAAGCCCUGUCGGAGGGGAAGAAGGACUGUCGUGCAAAUAGUGCGAUGGUUUGACGGUACCCUUAGAGGAAGCACCGGCUAACUCCGUGCCAGCAGCCGCGGUAAUACGGAGGGUGCAAGCGUUGCUCGGAAUUACUGGGCGUAAAGGGCGUGUAGGUGGUCUGAUUAGUCUGAUGUGAAAGCCCUGGGCUCAACCCAGGAAGUGCAUUGGAUACUGUCAGACUUGAAUACGGGAGAGGGUAGUGGAAUUCCUAGUGUAGGAGUGAAAUCCGUAGAUAUUAGGAGGAACACCGGUGGCGAAGGCGGCUACCUGGACCGAUAUUGACGCUGAGACGCGAAAGCGUGGGUAGCAAACAGGAUUAGAUACCCUGGUAGUCC